GAUGUAACGGGGCUAAACCAUGCACCGAAGCUGCGGCAGCGAACGUAUCACUUAAAGCGAUUCAGCGGGUUACGAUUGACGGAGCGAAGCGACGUCAAAGCGUAUACAAAGUCGAGUCGGUUUAAGGAUACGUUCGUUGGGUAGGGGAGCGUUCUGUAAGCCUGUGAAGGUGUGUCGUGAGGCAUGCUGGAGGUAUCAGAAGUGCGAAUGCUGACAUAAGUAACGAUAAAGCGGGUGAAAAGCCCGCUCGCCGGAAGACCAAGGGUUCCUGUCCAACGUUAAUCGGGGCAGGGUGAGUCGACCCCUAAGGCGAGGCCGAAAGGCGUAGUCGAUGGGAAACGGGUUAAUAUUCCCGUACUUGGUGUUACUGCGAAGGGGGGACGGAGAAGGCUAUGUUGGCCGGGCGACGGUUGUCCCGGUUUAAGCGUGUAGGUGUGUGUUCCAGGUAAAUCCGGUUCACUUUAACACUGAGGCGUGACGACGAGGCACUACGGUGCUGAAGCAACAAAUGCCCUGCUUCCAGGAAAAGCCUCUAAGCAUCAGGUAACAUCAAAUCGUACCCCAAACCGACACAGGUGGUCAGGUAGAGAAUACCAAGGCGCUUGAGAGAACUCGGGUGAAGGAACUAGGCAAAAUGGUGCCGUAACUUCGGGAGAAGGCACGCUGACACGUAGGUGAAGUGAUUUACUCAUGGAGCUGAAGUCAGUCGAAGAUACCAGCUGGCUGCAACUGUUUAUUAAAAACACAGCACUGUGCAAACACGAAAGUGGACGUAUACGGUGUGACGCCUGCCCGGUGCCGGAAGGUUAAUUGAUGGGGUCAGCGCAAGCGAAGCUCCUGAUCGAAGCCCCGGUAAACGGCGGCCGUAACUAUAACGGUCCUAAGGUAGCGAAAUUCCUUGUCGGGUAAGUUCCGACCUGCACGAAUGGCGUAAUGAUGGCCAGGCUGUCUCCACCCGAGACUCAGUGAAAUUGAACUCGCUGUGAAGAUGCAGUGUACCCGCGGCAAGACGGAAAGACCCCGUGAACCUUUACUAUAGCUUGACACUGAACAUUGAGCCUUGAUGUGUAGGAUAGGUGGGAGGCUUUGAAGUGUGGACGCCAGUCUGC
rnacentral:rRNA from 1 species